CGCAGGCUCCAAGCCCCGCCAAUCCGGGCCCGAGGCAGCGUCUGGCCCGCCAAUCCCGGGCCGCCUUUCUCGGCACCGUCCAAUCACAGCCCGCCUUUUCAAUCCGGCAGCGGUCUCGCAAGCUCAGACGCGGCGCGGCCCCUCCGCGCGGCACCGUCCCCCCGUUCCCCUCAGGCGCUGCUGGGACCACGGAAGGGCGGUGGGAGCUCCGCGGUCACGUCCCCUCCGGGAGCUCUCCCAGGAGAAGGAGAGGGAGGCGGGGAGCGGGCGGGAGGGGCUCCGGGAGCGGGGCCUGCGGGACCAGCGGGGUUCUCGGGAACGGGCGGGCGGGGAUUGGCUGGGCUGGCACGGGGGGGCGGGGCCGUGCGGGCCGCGGGCUAUAAAUAGCGGGGGAGGGGGGGCGGGGGGGGCAGUUCGGCGGCGGAGGUGGAAGCGGCGCUGGAGCGGCGGGAGCCGGGGCGAGAUCGGCGGUGAGCUGGGGCGGGACUCCCGCGGCUGCCGGUCCCGACGUGCAGGUCCGAUCCCGGCCCGCCACUCCCAGCCCGCUUUUCUCCGCUCCGUCCAAUCGUAGCCCGCCCUUUCAAUGGGGCCGCGGUCCCGUAAGCUCUGCCCGCUCAGCCGCGGAGCGGCGCCGCCCCCCUUCCCCACGUUCCCCUCAGGCGCUGUAGGUGCCGGCGCCUUUGCUUCCGGAGCCGCACCUGCGCUGCCGCAGCCCCCGACAGGCCCUGUUGGGACCAGGGAGGGCGGGUGGCACAGCUCCGCGCUCACGUCCCGUCUGGGAGUUCUUCCGGGAGGCGGGGAGGGGGCGGGAGCGGCGGCGGCCCUUUCAACGGGGCCGCGGUCGAGCAAGCUCUGCCCGCUCAGCCGCGGCGCGGAGCCGCCCCCCUCUCCACCUCGUCCCCCGCGUUCCCCUCAGGCGCCGGUCUCGGCGCCUUUGCUUCGGGAUCCGGCGGAGCCGCGCCUGCGCUGCCGCGGUGCCCGCAGGCGCUGUUGGGAGGGCGGGUGGGAGGUCCGCGGUCCCGUCCCGUCCCGGAGUUCUCCUGGGAGAAGGGGAGGGAGGCGGGGAGCGGGCGGAAGCGGAGCAGCCCCUGGGAGCGGGUCCUGAGGGGACAGCGGGGUUCUUGGGGACGGGCAGGGCGAGAACGGGCAGGCGGGGAUUGGCGGGGCCGGACGCUGCCGGACGCUGGGAUUGGCUGGGCUGGCACGAGGGGGGCGGGGCUGUGCGGGCCGCGGGCUAUAAACGGCGUGGGCGGGGGGCGCUGGGGGCAGUUCGGCGGCGGAGGUGGAAGCGGCGCUGGAGCGGCGGGAGCCGGGGCGAGAUCGGCGCCCGGGGCUGCAGAGAUACCCAGGAGCGGAUUUAGGCAGAGGCAGCAGAAAGCUGAGAACCUGGAGCUCAGGCAGCAGAGCUGGUGGAGACAUAAAGACGGUAGGACUGUGGGCAGAACAAGAGUGGGGCUGGAUUAGGGAGCAUGGACCUGGCAUAAGUACUGCAGGGAUGGAGCUGGGAUAAAAAUAGUCAGGCCUGGCCUGGAA